AGUAGUGAAGUAAUAAUUACACUUAGUUUCGACCUAAGAAUUAGAGGAUACCCUCCUUACUU
rnacentral:tRNA from 1 species